AGAGUGUUCAAAGCAGGCAGACCAUUUCUUCUGCCACCGAAUACAUUAGCAUGGGAUAAUGGAAUAGGACCCUGUCCUCCUAUUUUGCGUGUUGGUUUUCGAGGACCGGGUAAUGAUUAAUAGGGAUAGUUGGGGGCAUUAAUAUUUAAUUGUCAGAGGUGAAAUUCUUGGAUUUAUGAAAGAUUGACUUCUGCGAAAGCAUCUGCCAAGGAUGUUUUCAUUAUUCAAGAACGAAAGUUAGGGGAUCGAAGACGAUCAGAUACCGUCGUAGUCUUAACCAUAAACGAUGCCGACCACCGAUUAGGAGACGUUGAAUACAAAACACCACCGUCGGGUCGGCCGUCCUUGGCCGUCGUGCGCGGCGACGCGCGCGGCGGCCAGGGCGGUGUCUGCCCGACGGCCCGGUGAAUGACUCCCCUAGCAGCUUGUGAGAA
rnacentral:rRNA from 1 species